GAUGAAGAACGUAGCGAAAUGCGAUAACUAAUGUGAAUUGCAGAAUUCAGUGAAUCAUCGAGUCUUUGAACGCACAUUGCGCCCCCUGGUAUUCCGGGGGGCAUGCCUGUCCGAGCGUCAUUGCUGCCCUCAAGCACGGCUUGUGUGUUGGGCUCCGUCCCCCCGGGGACGGGCCCGAAAGGCAGCGGCGGCACCGAGUCCGGUCCUCGAGCGUAUGGGGCUUUGUCACCCGCUCUGUAGGCCCGGCCGGCGCCAGCCGACAACCCACCAUCCUUUUCAGGUUGACCUCGGAUCAGGUAGGGAUACCCGCUGAACUUAAGCAUAUCAAUAAGCGGAGGA
rnacentral:misc_RNA from 1 species